rnacentral:rRNA from 1 species
AGGCAGCAGUGAGGAAUAUUGCGCAAUGGGGGAAACCCUGACGCAGCGACGCCGCGUGAGUGAGGAAGGCCUUCGGGUCGUAAAGCUCUGUCAGAUGGGAAGAAGUGUAUUGCGGUUAAUACCCGUAGUAUUUGACGGUACCAUCAGAGGAAGCACCGGCUAACUCCGUGCCAGCAGCCGCGGUAAUACGGAGGGUGCGAGCGUUGUUCGGAAUCACUGGGCGUAAAGGGCGCGCAGGCGGUUUGUUUAGUCAGAUGUGAAAGCCCACGGCUUAACCGUGGAAGUGCAUUUGAAACUGGCAGACUUGAGUACCAGAGGGGAAGGUGGAAUUCCCGGUGUAGAGGUGAAAUUCGUAGAUAUCGGGAGGAAUACCGGUGGCGAAGGCGACUUUCUGGCUGGAUACUGACGCUGAGGCGCGAAAGCGUGGGGAGCAAACAGGAUUAGAUACCCUGGUAGUCCACGCCGUAAACGAUGUGAACUAGAUGUUGGAGGUGUUGAUCCCUUCGGUGUCGGAGCUAACGCAUUAAGUUCACCGCCUGGGGAGUACGGUCGCAAGAUUAAAACUCAAAUGAAUUGACGG